rnacentral:lncRNA from 1 species
AUGGCUACAUGGUCCAGCCUUCUGAAACAGCCAGAGGAAACCUGGCCCAAAUACCCAGAGAAUUUCAUCUCUCUUGCUAUAGAUGACCCAGAGAUCAAAAAGACUGUUGCAGUCUUUGGCACAGCUGCAACAGAAACACGAGAUCCGGUCAUUGAAUUCAUACAGCACUUCUCUUCAUGGGAUCGCCUCAAAAGAGCAACAGCAAGGCUCCUGCAAUUCAGGGAUCUGCUCAUGCAUUUGAGCAGAAAGAGAAAGGCCGCAGCACUCGCUCACCAACAGUCUGAGGUACCUGGAAAAGAUCCAAAGGUACAGACACAGGAACAUCUGUCUGUUGAAAAUCUUGCACGUGCUGAAGAGACUCUCUUGUGCUGUGUUCAACAACUACAAUUCCGGGAGGAGAUCUCAGCACUGGAAGCAGGAAAGAUUACUGUUAAAGCUAGCAGCAAGCUUUUCAAACUUGACCCUUACCUCUGUGAUGGAGUACUGAGAGUAGGCGUAAGACUGAGUAGGAUGGCAAUGCCGGAAGAGUUCAAGCAUCCGGCCAUUCUACCCAAAGACAGCCAUCUGACCAGACUGCUCCUCCAUCACAUCCAUAUUUCGGUAGGCCAUGGUGGCAGAAACCAGAUGCUUUCAAAACUUUGCCAGAAAUACUGGGUCAUAAAAGCCAAUUCUGCCACCAGAACAAUCAUGAAAAACUGCAUAUUCUGCAGACGUUGGCACACUCCCCCUAGUGUGCAGAAAAUGUCCGACUUGCCUCUCAGCCACACACAGCCGGACCACCCUUCCUUCACCUACGUUGGCGUUGAUUACUUUGGCCCAAUAGAAGCAAAGAGGGGCCGGAGUGUGGUGAAAAGGUACGGCGUCAUAUUCACCUGCCUUGUCAGUAGAGCCGUCCAUCUAGAGCUGGCACAUUCUUUGGACACUGACUCUUGUAUCUGUGCUCUCCGAAGAUUCAUGUGCAGAAGGGGUCAGGUCAAAGAAAUGUUCUCCGACAAUGGCACCAACUUUGUUCAAUUCAUAUUCAUGCUACUAGUUUGA